rnacentral:rRNA from 1 species
GACGAACGCUGGCGGCGUGCUUAACACAUGCAAGUCGAACGGAAAGGCCCUGCUUUUGUGGGGUGCUCGAGUGGCGAACGGGUGAGUAACACGUGAGUAACCUGCCCUUGACUUUGGGAUAACUUCAGGAAACUGGGGCUAAUACCGGAUAGGAGCUCCUGCUGCAUGGUGGGGGUUGGAAAGUUUCGGCGGUUGGGGAUGGACUCGCGGCUUAUCAGCUUGUUGGUGGGGUAGUGGCUUACCAAGGCUUUGACGGGUAGCCGGCCUGAGAGGGUGACCGGCCACAUUGGGACUGAGAUACGGCACAGACUCCUACGGGAGCCAGAAGUGGGGAAUAUUGCACAAUAGGCGGAAGCCUGAUGCAGCAACGCCGCGUGCGGGAUGACGGCAUUCGGGUUGUAAACCGCUUUCGCCUGUGACGAAGCGUGAGUGACGGUAAUGGGUAAAGAAGCACCGGCUAACUACGUG